rnacentral:rRNA from 1 species
UACGGGGGGGGCAAGCGUUGUUCGGAAUUACUGGGCGUAAAGGGUUCGUAGGUGGCUCGCUAAGUCAGACGUGAAAUCCCUCAGCUUAACUGGGGAACUGCGUCUGAGACUGGCGAGCUCGAGUGCAGGAGAGGAACGCGGAAUUCCAGGUGUAGCGGUGAAAUGCGUAGAUAUCUGGAGGAACACCGGUGGCGAAGGCGGCAUCCUGGACCAAUUCUGACACUGAGGAGCGAAAGCCAGGGGAGCAAACGGG